AGCUUUAAAGAAGCGCAAUGAAGAAGAACAAUGUUGCUGAGCAUGGCUGUUUAUAUUUCUUUAACUGUCUAUGGGUUAUAGGCAACUAUGCAUGGAUGUAUUAACGUUUAACGUCGGUGUCAUGUUGUGGAUUUUGGUAUUAUAAAAUAUUGGGAAUGAAUGCACGUAUGUUUAAUAGUUAUGGUCAACAGCCAGUCGUUUAUACCUCGAAGUUUUAAACGUUCAACCAACCUCCUAAAAGCUUAACAGCCGGCGGCGUUCGCUGAGCACAGAGGGCCCAUUGCCUUCUCUUGCUUUGCCCAUCACUGCUGCCUGGAUGCAAGAUCCUCUCACCAGUGUGACUCUGCAAACUUGAGCCCAAGACAUUCCACGUCAUUUGUCUGCAACAGUCCCUUUUUCUUGAUCAUACAUACAAUAAUUGUGAAUUCAUAAUCCAAAUGACCCUGCAUUAAUUUGCUAAACCUGCUAUCUCUCUCAAUUUUUAAUUCAGUGACUAGACAAUAAGUAAAUCUUAGUUAAUAUUUUCUGAUGCUUAUCGUGAAUGAACAAUAAUUAAUUUGAUUAUGAUAUGAUUUGUGUUACUGUGAGGUACAAAAAUGGACUGCUUAGGAGGAAAAACAAGAUUCUAAAUUGAAGAAAAAAGAGAAAUAAAAAACCACUGCCUAUAAAAUGUAUUGACCAUUCUUGGAUUUUGGCAUAUUUGUUUUCAACAUCAUUAAAUCAGUGGAGGCUUGA